ACUCCCAGCUCUCUGUGCAGGCUGAUCCACACACUCCCAGCUCUCUGUGCAGGCUGUUCCACACACUCUCUCUGUCUCACUGUCAGCCUGUACAGGCUGUUCCGCACACCCCCAGCUCUCUGUCAAGCUGUUCCACACACUCCCAGCUCUCUGACAGGCUGUUCCACACACCCCCAGCUCUCUGUCAAGGUGUUCCACACACUCCCAGCUCUCAGCUACACACGGGGCCACACACAGGGCCACACACAGGGACACACACAGGGCAACACACAGGGCCACACGCAGGGCAACACACAGGGCCACACGCAGGGCCACGCACAGGGCCACACGCAGGACCACACACAGGGCCAUGCAGAGGGCCACACGCAGGGCCAGCGUACAGUGUGCAGUGCGUUAUAUUUAAAGCUCCCUCCGCUGUUAUGGGCAAUCACUUAGGACACCAGCUUCUGGAACAAUCCCUGCAUAUCUUCACUGGGCCAACUGAUCAAUCAGAGUUCAGUUAAAUCAUUCAGCCACAUACCAAUCGCUUUAAGAUAACGCUUUGUUCUCUGUGUUUGGGUCUAUUUAAUAUCUAGCAUGCGACUAAGGUCACAUGACUCACAGUCAAGAUUAGUGAUUGGUGAUUAGCAUAUGGACUGACAUAUAGUGCCCUCCAAAAGGAUGGCAACAGUAGAAUUAAAUUUGUUAUUAAGCUUUUCUAUAAUGUUCUCCUGCUGUAUGUGUGUGUUAAUGUUCUAUCUCUGUUUGUGUGUGGUAAUAUUCUACUUCUGUAUGUGUGUGUUAAUGUUCUCCCCCUGUGUGUGUGUUAAUGUUCUCCCUCUGUUUGUGUGUGGUAAUAUUCUACUUCUGUAUGUGUGUGUUAAUGUUCUCCCCCUGUGUGUGUGUUAAUCUUUUCUUUAUGUAUGAUUGGGUUAAUAUUCUCCCUCUGUAUGUGUGUUAAUGUUUUACUUCUGUAUGCCUGUGUUAAUGUUCUCCUGCUGUAUGUGUGUGUUAAUGUUCUACCUCUGUAUGUGUGUGUUAAAUUUCUCCCUCUAUAUGUGUAUCCUAAUGUUCUACUUGUUUAUGUGUGUAUUAAUGUGCUACUUCUCUACUGGUCGCCGGAGAGCAACAUAAUCAUUGGCUGCUGUUUCCUCCAUGGGUCACCAGAGGGCGACGUCAUCAUAUUUUGUGUUCUUUUGACUUACUGCUUUCACCUGUGUUGAUUUGUGAUUCUUUGCACCUGUGUUCUUCCCUAUAUUAGUUCUCCCUUCGGUUGUGUUCAUUGCUUAGUCUUGAGUUUGCCUGCCUCUGUGUAAGUCUCGAGUAAAAAUCUGGAUUGCAGGAAAUGAAGCCUGCAUCAAAACUUUUCUUUGGAAAAGUCCACUUUGUUUGUCAAGCCUGCUCUUGUUCUCUGCUCUUGAUUCUACGCUCCUAGUCAAGUGGGUUGGUGAUUAGUACACAGGACUCCCAACCAAGAGACCUGGGUUCAAGCUUCUGUCGGGGAACAAUCCGUAACAACUUCUUUAUGUGUGUGUUAAUCUCCCUCUCAGUGUACCACAGUGGGAAAGGAACUGGGCUUGUUACCAAAGGACACUGUCGUUGUACCCUUGUGCAAGGUACUUAACCUGCAUUGCUUCAGAAUAGAUCAAGCUGUAUAAAUGGAUACAUUUAUAACAACUGGAUAGGAGCGUCUGCUAAAUCUGUGUAAUGCAAUGUUAAUGUUCUCCCCCUGUAUGUGUGUGUUAAUAUUCUGCCUCGGUGGGUCAUUAGCUAUGCAGUAGUCUGUCUGCUCCAGCUGCGCAUGAAAGGCACUCCUGACACAGUGACUGUGCAGCUCAGCUGCCGAACUGCAGGGUGAAAACAGUUCAAAAUAACCACUCAGUAACGCAGAGUACCGGAAAGCUCUGUCUGGAAGCUGUUCCUCUUUCCUGCUGAACAACACAGCGAGAAGCAGCCAAGGAGAAAAAUGUAAAAUAAAAUAUGCAGGAUAA